rnacentral:rRNA from 1 species
UGGGGAAUAUUGCACAAUGGGGGAAACCCUGAUGCAGCAACGCCGCGUGAAAGGAAGACGGUUUUCGGAUUGUAAACUUCUUUUCUUAGUGAAGAAGCAAGUGACGGUAGCUAAGGAAUAAGCAUCGGCUAACUACGUGCCAGCAGCCGCGGUAAAUACGUAGGAUGCGAGCGUUAUCCGGAAUUACUGGGUGUAAAGGGAGCGCAGGCGGGACUGCAAGUUGGAUGUGAAAUACCGCAGCUUAACUGCGGAGCUGCAUCCAAAACUGUAGUUCUUGAGUGGAGUAGAGGCAAGCGGAAUUCCGAGUGUAGCGGUGAAAUGCGUAGAUAUUCGGAGGAACACCAGUGGCGAAGGCGCUUGCUGGGCUCUAACUGACGCUGAGGCUCGAAAGUGUGGGGAGCAAACAGGAUUAGAUACC